CAGUCGCCACGGUAAUACAGAGGGUGCGAGCGUUAAUCGGAUUUACUGGGCGUAAAGCGUGCGUAGGCGGCUUUUUAAGUCGGAUGUGAAAUCCCUGAGCUUAACUUAGAAAUUGCAUUCGAUACUGGGAAGCUAGAGUAUGGGAGAGGAUGGUAGAAUUCCAGGUGUAGCGGUGAAAUGCGUAGAGAUCUGGAGGAAUACCGAUGGCGAAGGCAGCCAUCUGGCCUAAUACUGACGCUGAGGUACGAAAGCAUGGGGAGCAAACAGGAUUAGAUACCCGAGUAGUCCCUGUCUCUUAUAA
rnacentral:rRNA from 1 species